GAUGAGCUGCCUUCUUGAACUGCUGCAGUCUGUUUGGUAAAAGAUCAGAAAGGAAAUUAAUGGUGUACAAUCUCCACAGAAGUGCUCAAUUUCCUAAAGCUUGUAUCUACUAAUUUAGACCCAUUGAUUUUGCUGCUCAGGUGAACUGAAAGGAAACAAACAGGGCUGAUUUAUAUGAAAUGUUAAAAUAAGUCAAUACUCUCCUGAGCCAAAUGAAGUAUAUAACAUGGUGACUGUUUACUGCAAAUACAAAAGGAUGCCAUUUCAGUGCAGUUGGAAAUUUGACAAUUUGAUGCAUCAUCAUUAUUAUUAUUUGGUACUGCUUCUUUGAAAGCCAGAAUGACAUUGAUGAAAAGGAAGGAGACACAGAGCCCUGGAUGAAACUGUGAAGGCAAAAUUAUGAACAUUGAAUAACCAAACAGAAGAUAAGUGGAGGACUACUAUUUUGCUCCCCCCAGAUGAAUCAGACAGAUUAAAGGACUGUCUGAUUUGAAAUAUGGUGUGAAGAUGAGAGAUUCAGAACUGCCAUUCAGCUGUGCUAAACUUGUACAUCACUCUUCUUUUAAUACACUUCAAAUUUAUGACUUAGAUGAAGCUUUUAUGGCUUAUAGGGCUGUGUCAAAUUUUAUUUAACAUUCAUGUGAAGUGCCUCAAGAUAUUUUACUACAUUAAAUAAAAAUGCUCUUGCAUAAAAAACCUCUUACAAAUCAA